rnacentral:tRNA from 1 species
GCCUGGCUAGCUCAGUCACUAGAGUAUGGGACUUUUGAUCUCAGGGUUGUGAGUUCAAGCCCCACAUUGGGCA